CUGGAUGCUGAUGACGACGCUGGAGAUUUUCGCCAUGCUGGGGGCAUCAUGACACUGGUCUCCCUCGGCACUACCAGCCCGUCUACAGCGCCGUCACCGGCAUACUGGGCUUCAUCGCCUGCGGCAUCUACAUCUACAUGCUGCUGGUGGUGGUCAGCUACUACCAGUACCUCAAGGACACGCAGGACGGGUACUACCCGCCCACAGAGAUGAGCAAGCACUAACGCGGCGUCGGCAUGGCAACAGGACGGACAGUGACGUUGGCAUGGCAACCGGUGGCGUCGUCACCAUAACAACCGAGAAAGCGUCAUGGAGACGAGUUGGAGUUGGUAUGGCAACGAACGACUUCGGCGGCAAGAGGAGAGGAUUUGAGAUGCGAAAGGAAAGGUCUAAAGAAGUGCUAACGAAGGAAAGAAAGGCUGAUAAGAAAGCAGAGAUUUCCGCUGGGUUAAAGUUGACAAGCGUUUGGCAGUUUUGUCGGUUUGAGAACUAAGCGCUUUGGAGCAAGCAACGUUUUGCUACUGUUAUUUUGAAGUUGGGUGCAGUUAUUGACAUUAAUGAUUCAAAAGUUGCCUUAGAAUCGUUCGUGAAACGGAAUUUCACAAAUGCUGAAAUGUUAUCCAUUCAAUAGUGCCUUUCUAUAGACUUUACACUUAACUGCAUAUUUGUUAACUGUGCGCACAAUUUGUGUCUUUUCUACAAGGCCCAUGCGAGCAAAUUCGCCAACACCGUUUGUAGGUGUGCCCACAGUAUUAGUCUUCCUGAAGAGAAAAAGCUGGACUUACAAAUUGACUCCUUUGCAGGGCUGCAUGCUUCGAGCCACCGUGCCAGUUACCGCGUCUGUGACUGGUCGCUUCCGAACUUUUUGGGCAGCUCGGCUUGGCUAGUUGGGAAAAAUAAUGCCUAUUGGUUCAUGACAUUACUAUUCGCUACCCUAGCGGCCGGUCUUCCGUGGUUUUUGGAUAUUCAAAGUGGUGCUAUAGGAAAAAGAGCGCAUUGGGUGGGGCUUUUUGUUCUCUGCCGCACUGCCAAGGCAUGUGGGUGCCGCUGUUCGUGUUAUCUAACACCAAGGCUAAUCAUUUGAGGCUUUAUGGGUGGGGUUAACAUCCUGUAACUUGUGGGUUUGGUGCCUUCAACUCUUAUGUUUGUCGGUUUCUAGGGCUGAAUUAAAAUCACGAAACUCGAGUCUCUAGUCAUAAAUGUGGGCUGUUUUUCGUGAAAACAUUUCGAUCUUCUAAAGGUGGUGUGAGCUCCCCUAACGUAAUAACGGGUUUGUUUUGAUGGCGCUGGUAUUUUGAUUACGUCACUGUUAAUCUCACUUAGGUUUACAAAGAAGCUUGUGCACUUAACUGUCACGCUAGUAUAAAACGGAAUCUCCCUUUGCUAUGCCUUCUUUACACUUAAAUGGUUUAAAAGUAUUUACAUUAUUUUGUGCUGUUGUUUAAUCCCAAGCACACUCUAAGUAUAAAAACGAAUCUCUGCUAUCUCAACCAUAUAUUUAUGUUCACAUUUACCAUCAUGUACAUUUUGUGUGUAUCUUUUCUUGUGACUUGGAUGUUGAUCUGGGUAGUUUUAAGUUGGGAACGCCUUCGGGCUUACCUCUGCCUACUUUGCUCGUCUAAUGCAGUUCUUUGUGUGUAACGCGCGCGGCUAAUAUUGUGUAACACCUCUCAGUUGGCCCUUAUUUACAAGAAAUUUUUCUCAGACUGGUACCAACUAGGAUGGUUAAUCGUUUUGAUAGCCGCGACAAGAGUAAUCAGUUGAACUCCAAGUAAAGCCUGUCUUGGCGGCGGCUCUCUAAUUGUCGUUAUUCUUCUACAAAGACGGGAGAAGCGUUGCACUUAUGAAGCGAUUUCCUGUUAGCAUCACAAAUUUCUGUCGAAAAAAUGUCCGGCGUAGUGUUACUCCGACCCUGAUUGUUAGCUUCUGAGCUGGUGUGUGUUUGUUGUAGUGCGUUUUUGUGUGUUAGGUAACUAGCUAGUCGUGUUGCUGUCAGUAGUGAAAGCUAAUACACCGAUGCCGCGUCGGUCACAGGAUACUUACCCACCUCUACGGCGGUCGGCACAGCUACUUACCCACCUCUAUAAAGAGCAGCAGCUUUCUGGACGCCCCUAGCUGAGUAGUCAGUUAUUUACCCAGCACUUCAGCAGUACUCCAGCCGCGGCGGUACUGGCCUCGUUCACAGAAUUUGUACGGACGCUUACAAGUCGAACUGUUCAGUUAACACCCAGAGCAGCUUUUUAACAAUCUUUGUCUAAAUUCUGACAUUUUUUGGCACGCAACGUUAUACCGGAGUAACUUUUAUCGGUUUCAUCCGUCUUGACGGCAGUUUGUUAGCGCUAAUUGUUGGAACAGAUUGUCCAGUUAUCUGUCACAUUCAGCGUCUUCCAUCUGCAAUUUAUCCAUAUACUGUCCGUGUCAGAUUGGCCUAUCGGAUCUAUUCGUGGGAUAUGGCAUUGUCUUCUACGCGACAUUGUGCCUUUCGUGCGCGCUAUCCUGUAUCGAUUGUUGUGCCAAUAUCUAUCCACGGUGUCAAUGUUGCUCUCUGUACCAUGCAUUGUAGUUGCGUUUUCGGCGUGUCUACUCUAAACUGUUAACAUGUCCUAGAAUCUAGACCAGCUUAGGCCUUACAGCGUGUUGUCCUUUAGAAAGGUUGCUUCCACUUUUUUUAGGAAUCUGUAAGCUUGCACAUGCUGCUAUGUAGGCGCUUUGCUGGUCGUCUUUGGGCACUUGUCCGGUGUUUUCGUGCGCCUUCGUCGGUAAGAUGUCCCGUGCCUUUGCUGCUACUGAUCCGUCGUGCUCUUAUACCGUGACGUACAACUGAAAACAGCCGUCUUUCUGAACGUAAAAGGCCUUCCAUUAUAUCGACACUGUUAUAUAAUCACCAUCUGUUACAGUGUUUGGGGCACCUCUUGUGCAAAUGACUGUUAACCCGAUAUUAACUAAGCGACACCGCCCGGUACAUACGGAUCGCCGUGUCACAUCGAAACCGUAUUUUAAUUUACCGCGGAUAUUUGAGAAAGUAAGUGCGCAUUUCAAACGGAUUUUGUGUUGCCUUCAAUGGUCUGCAGCGCGCAUUUACUUGUUCACGUAUCUGCGGUAAAUAUCCCGCUGUUACGGUUCCACCUUACAUCUCCGACUGUUUGGCUUCAAAGACUGGAAUCCGUGGUAGAUAUUCUACGGUAGUUUUGUGGUAGAUAACUGUUGGUAACCUGUGCAUGCUGCUUAUUUUUAUAGAAUAAACAUCGCUAAUACCAAA
rnacentral:lncRNA from 1 species